rnacentral:rRNA from 1 species
UACGGGGGGUGCGAGCGUUGUCCGGAAUCACUGGGCGUAAAGGGCGCGUAGGUGGCGUCGUAAGUUUGUGGUGAAAGCCCGGAGCUCAACUCCGGGUCUGCCGCGAAUACUGCGAGGCUUGAGUACUGUAGAGGGGGGUAGAAUAUCGGGUGUAGCGGUGGAAUGCGUAGAGAUCCGAUAGAAGACCGGUGGCGAAGGCGGAUCUCUGGGCCGAUACUGACGCUGAGGAGCGAAAGCGUGGGGAGCGAACAGG